GACGGGGGAGGCAAGCGUUAUCCGGAAUCAAUGGGCGUAAAGCGUCUGUAGGUGGUGAUGCAAGUCACUGGUGCAAAACUCUGGCUCAACCGGAGGAAAGCCAGUGAAACUGCAUGACUAGAGUGUGGGAGAGGUAGAAGGAAUUCCCUGAGUAGCGGUGAAAUGCGUAGAUACAGGGAAGAACACCGGAGGCGAAAGCGUUCUACUGGAACACAACUGACACUGAGAGAUGCAAGCUAGGGGAGCGAAUGGG
rnacentral:rRNA from 1 species